rnacentral:tRNA from 1 species
GGAGUGCUAGCUCAGCUGGGAGAGCUCCUGCCUUACAAGCAGACGGUCGGCGGUUCGAUCCCGUCGCACUCCACCA